AGAGGGUGCGAGCGUUAAUCGGAAUUACUGGGCGUAAAGAGCACGUAGGUGGAUAUUUAAGUUAUAGGUGAAAGCCCUGGGCUUAACCUAGGAAUUGCCUGUAAAACUGAAUGUCUAGAGUACAGUAGAGGGUAGUGGAAUUUCCGGUGUAGCGGUGAAAUGCGUAGAUAUCGGAAGGAACAUCUGUGGCGAAGGCGGCUACCUGGACUGAUACUGACACUGAGGUGCGAAAGCGUGGGGAGCGAACAGGGAUUAGAUACCCUGGUAGUCCACGCCGUAAACGAUGAGUACUAGCCGUUGGAAACUUUAGUUUUUAGUGGCGCAGCUAACGCGAUAAGUACUCCGCCUGGGGAAUACGGCCGCAAGGCUA
rnacentral:rRNA from 1 species